UUCGCUUAAAUACCAAGAUUAAAAAUUAUGUUACAUUGACAACCAGAACAAAACUAAAUGUAUCAUCUAUAUCUAUAAUGGAGCUGGCUCAUAACUUAUAUUAUUUUCUUAAAAAAAAGGAAAUAGAAGGUGAGAUGGAAGCAAGAGAUAAAAAAAGAUCUGGAAAGAAUGGAACUAUGGAAGGACGGAAACGAAAAAUGGAUAGCAGAAAAACCAUAUAUCAAUCCAUGGAAAUACUCAGCACAUAACUAAGGCAUAUUGACUUCGAAUUACGAAUAUACCUGCUGGUUUCUUCCAAUAUUUACUCCUUGAUCCGCCACUGGAAUUUUUCCAUCCUUUUCGCAACAUUGUCGUCAUGAUACACUUCUCCGUUACUCCGUUGGCUGAGCUCCGUGAAUCUAUAAUUUAUACCAAAAUUCAUGAUCACAUUACCUUGAAUAUCUAUAAUAGAUCCCACAAGUUUAAACCAUAUGAGUUGUGUUUUUAUUGACAUGCUACACAUGUAGAUGUUUUAUUACCUUGAUUAAAAAUGAACCAGAUGCGCCGUGUAUGAGGGUUUCGACAUUUUUACCUAUUUUUUUUUGACAAGUUAAAAAAUUGUUUCCGGUGUAGUGUUCUCUUCAGGGUUAUGAUCUUGUUUCUUCAAUUGCGACAACAACUAAAACAAACUGAUGCACUGUCUACAACUCUGUUCAUUCGGGUAUUCAAUCAACGGUUCUAUAUUAUAUACCUAAUGCUCGAAUUGGUCACAGAAUAGAGGGGACUAAACCGAACAGGAACACUAAAGACAAGGAGUUACCUAAUUCUAGCUAGGUCCAGGCACGUAUUAAAACAAGUAACUGUCAAAUUUUCUACAGAAAAAGUAAACCUGAAAAAGACGUUGAAAUUGUUGAAUACAACACAAUCCAGAACAAAUGAAUCAAAAUCGUUAGUAAUGAAAUAAAAUUCGGACGAACUUGAAAAAUUACCUACAAAGAACUGUAAAUAAAUAGGAAAAAGAGCAUCAACUAAUCAUAACAUUAUAAAUAAUAUUUAAAAAGUCAAGUGCAUUUCAUAAAACCUUUCAUCAAAGAAUGUCAGGAGAAGAACAAAAAUACAUAUCUCAGUGGCGGCUCCUCUUUGAGGCCGCAUGGCCGCGCGCCCUCCCAGAUAUAAUGUUGGUUAAAAAAUUCUGAUACAACCAACUUCAACAUUUUCUAUUCUAAUUUUAAUUUGUUGAAAUUCACAUAAAAACACUCUGAUAUUUUUCCGACGCUCAACCAGCUUGUCAUAGCUUUAUAGGACGUAGGCGAUGGUUGAGACCACGUUGAGAGGGCACGCACGAUAUUUGAGCGCAAGAGAAGUGCGGCCACGUAACCAUAGCAAUCGAGGACGGUCGACCAACACUCCCACUCAUCUUCAGACGUUGCGUGCGUGAUGUUGCAUUUUGGCCGCACUUCGCACUUCUUUAGCGGCCUCGCCUCAGUGAGCAAGAAAGCACGCGGCAAGAAGCUUUGCAAGCAGUUAUCUCUGACAACAAUAAAGCGAAAGCAGUGGAAAAGUUUGCAGUAGUAGUGUUUAAAGUUUCACUUAUUCUUAUUACCAUCAUGAAUACUGUUCAUAAUAUAUUAAAUACGAACUUUUCCAAUCUGCCACUUGAAGAUAAGUUAAAAAUUAAAGAAUUGGGCAGGCCGUUGCCAAAUUUGAAGUUAACGCAAAUUAGUGAACGCAAAGCAGAAAACAGAAGUUUCACCCGCCAUUUUUCAAGAGACAUUUAUACAA
rnacentral:lncRNA from 1 species